GCCUACGGGGGGCAGCAGUGGGGAAUAUUGCGCAAUGGGCGAAAGCCUGACGCAGCGACGCCGCGUGAGGGAUGAAGGUCUUCGGAUCGUAAACCUCUGUCAGCAGGGAAGAACGGUCACUGUGCUAAUCAGCAGUGAAUUGACGGUACCUGCAAAGGAAGCACCGGCUAACUCCGUGCCAGCAGCCGCGGUAAUACGGAGGGUGCGAGCGUUAAUCGGACUUACUGGGCGUAAAGCGCUCGUAGGCGGUAUGUCAAGUCAAGGGUGGAAUCACCCCGCUCAACGUGGGGACUGCCUUUGAAACG
rnacentral:rRNA from 1 species